rnacentral:lncRNA from 1 species
UUUGCUUCUGGAUUUGGUGUGCUUGGUGAUGAGGAGGAUGUUGAUAAUGAUGAUGAUGAGAAAUCGGAGGUAACCGGUGAGGGUGAUGACGAUGAGGAUGAACCUGUUGUUAGUUUUACAGGGAAGAAGAAAUCCUCGAAGGGUUCUAAGAAAGGUGGUGGUGGAAGUGUGUUUACGGCUGCGGCUGGUUUUGGUUUGCUUGGGGAUGAUGAAGAUGUUGAUAAUGAUGAUGGUGAGGAGAAAUCGGAUGAGGAUGAACCAGUUGUUUUUUCGGGGAAGAAGAAGCCCUCAAAGGGUUGGAAGAAAGGGGCAAGUAGUUUGUUCAGUGCAUUAGAUGAGAAUGAUGAUGGAGAGGAGGAGAGUAAGAAUGAAAAGGUAGAAGAUGAUGAUGAUGAACCAAUCACUUUC